rnacentral:tRNA from 4 species
GCAUAGCUCAGUUGGUUAGAGCGUCGGAUUGUGGUUCCGAAGGUCGUGGGUUCGACCCCCACUGU